rnacentral:rRNA from 1 species
AUUGAACGCUGGCGGCGUGCCUAACACAUGCAAGUCGAGCGGUAACAGGUGUAGCAAUACAUGCUGACGAGCGGCGGACGGGUGAGUAACGCUUGGGAAUCUGCCUGUUAGUGGGGGACAACCCGGGGAAACUCGGGCUAAUACCGCAUACGCACUACGGUGGAAAGCCGGGGACCGCAAGGCCUAGCGCUAACAGAUGAGCCCAAGUCGGAUUAGCUAGUUGGUAGGGUAACGGCCACCAAGGCGACGAUCCGUAACUGGUCUGAGAGGACGACCAGUCACACCGGAACUGAGACACGGUCCGGACUCCUACGGGAGGCAGCAGUGGGGAAUAUUGGACAAUGGGCGAAAGCCUGAUCCAGCGACGCCGCGUGGGUGAAGAAGGCCUGCGGGUUGUAAAGCCCUUUCGGUGGGGAAGAAAAGCCUCGAGCUAACAUCUCGGGGUCUUGACGUAACCCAUAGAAGAAGCACCGGCUAACUCUGUGCCAGCCGCCGCAGUAAU